rnacentral:rRNA from 1 species
CCGGUAAACGGCGGCCGUAACUAUAACGGUCCUAAGGUAGCGAAAUUCCUUGUCGGGUAAGUUCCGACCUGCACGAAUGGCGUAAUGAUGGCCAGGCUGUCUCCACCCGAGACUCAGUGAAAUUGAACUCGCUGUGAAGAUGCAGUGUACCCGCGGCAAGACGGAAAGACCCCGUGAACCUUUACUAUAGCUUGACACUGAACAUUGAGCCUUGAUGUGUAGGAUAGGUGGGAGGCUUUGAAGUGUGGACGCCAGUCUGCAUGGAGCCGACCUUGAAAUACCACCCUUUAAUGUUUGAUGUUCUAACGUUGACCCGUAAUCCGGGUUGCGGACAGUGUCUGGUGGGUAGUUUGACUGGGGCGGUCUCCUCCUAAAGAGUAACGGAGGAGCACGAAGGUUGGCUAAUCCUGGUCGGACAUCAGGAGGUUAGUGCAAUGGCAUAAGCCAGCUUGACUGCGAGCGUGACGGCGCGAGCAGGUGCGAAAGCAGGUCAUAGUGAUCCGGUGGUUCUGAAUGGAAGGGCCAUCGCUCAACGGAUAAAAGGUACUCCGGGGAUAACAGGCUGAUACCGCCCAAGAGUUCAUAUCGACGGCGGUGUUUGGCACCUCGAUGUCGGCUCAUCACAUCCUGGGGCUGAAGUAGGUCCCAAGGGUAUGGCUGUUCGCCAUUUAAAGUGGUACGCGAGCUGGGUUUAGAACGUCGUGAGACAGUUCGGUCCCUAUCUGCCGUGGGCGCUGGAGAACUGAGGGGGGCUGCUCCUAGUACGAGAGGACCGGAGUGGACGCAUCACUGGUGUUCGGGUUGUCAUGCCAAUGGCACU